GUCUAUGGCCAUUCCAUCCUGAACGUGCCAGAUCCUCUAUCUUGGAAUCUAAGCAGGAUCAGGCUUGGUUAGUACUUGGAUAGGAAAAGGAAUGCAUUCAGGUGUCAAAGGCU
rnacentral:rRNA from 1 species